rnacentral:lncRNA from 1 species
GCCCGUCCCUUGACAGACCUUGUGCAUAGGAGCAGUGCAGGGAAAGCUGAAGAAGGGACCCAUAAGCCGAGACCUAAAGCGUGAUAGGAGGCAAGAGUAUUUUAAACAGAGGCGUACUGUGAUGGAAGUCAAAGGGAAGAAAAAAAUUACAGGAAAGAGUCCACAGACAUCACAAGGAAAGAAUAAAUUUCAUAAAAACAGUGAGUCUAGUUCUGCAAAGGCAUUCCCAAGGAAAGCUGCUAAGGAAGGCGGGCCUAAAGUCACAUCUAAGAACU